rnacentral:rRNA from 1 species
GACGUAGGUGGCGAACGUUGUCCGGAAUUAUUGGGCGUAAAGCGCGCGCAGGCGGCCUUUUAAGUCUGAUGUGAAAGCCCACGGCUUAACCGUGGAAGGUCAUUGGAAACUGGAAGGCUUGAGUACAGAAGAGGAAAGCGGAAUUCCACGUGUAGCGGUGAAAUGCGUAGAGAUGUGGAGGAACACCAGUGGCGAAGGCGGCUACCUGGACGGUAACUGACGCUGAGACGCGAAAGCGUGGGUAGCAAACAGG